rnacentral:rRNA from 1 species
GUCAGGAGCAAUAGCACGUUGAAUACCCCCACUGUUCCACUGACGUUAAGCAACGUUACGCGUGGUUAGUAUCCGGAUGGGUGACCAUCUGGACAAUUGCGUGCUGCUGGCU